AGAGUUUGAUCCUGGCUCAGGAUGAACGCUAGCGACAGGCCUAACACAUGCAAGUCGAGGGGCAGCGGAGAGGUAGCAAUACCUUUGCCGGCGACCGGCGCACGGGUGAGUAACACGUAUGCAAUCCACCUGUAACAGGGGGAUAACCCGGAGAAAUCCGGACUAAUACCCCAUAAUAUGGGUUCUCCGCAUGGAGGGUCCAUUAAAGAGAGCAAUUUUGGUUACAGACGAGCAUGCGCUCCAUUAGCCAGUUGGCGGGGUAACGGCCCACCAAAGCGACGAUGGAUAGGGGUUCUGAGAGGAAGGUCCCCCACAUUGGAACUGAGACACGGUCCAAACUCCUACGGGAGGCAGCAGUGAGGAAUAUUGGUCAAUGGACGUAAGUCUGAACCAGCCAAGUCGCGUGAGGGAAGACUGCCCUAUGGGUUGUAAACCUCUUUUAUAAGGGAAGAAUAAGUUCUACGUGUAGAAUGAUGCCUGUACCUUAUGAAUAAGCAUCGGCUAACUCCGUGCCAGCAGCCGCGGUAAUACGGAGGAUGCGAGCGUUAUCCGGAUUUAUUGGGUUUAAAGGGUGCGUAGGCGGUUUAUUAAGUUAGUGGUUAAAUAUUUGAGCUAAACUCAAUUGUGCCAUUAAUACUGGUAAACUGGAGUACAGACGAGGUAGGCGGAAUAAGUUAAGUAGCGGUGAAAUGCAUAGAUAUAACUUAGAACUCCGAUAGCGAAGGCAGCUUACCAGACUGUAACUGACGCUGAUGCACGAGAGCGUGGGUAGCGAACAGGAUUAGAUACCCUGGUAGUCCACGCCGUAAACGAUGCUCACUGGUUCUGUGCGAUAUAUUGUACGGGAUUAAGCGAAAGUAUUAAGUGAGCCACCUGGGGAGUACGUCGGCAACGAUGAAACUCAAAGGAAUUGACGGGGGCCCGCACAAGCGGAGGAACAUGUGGUUUAAUUCGAUGAUACGCGAGGAACCUUACCCGGGCUUGAAAGUUAGCGACGAUUCUUGAAAGAGGAUUUCCCUUCGGGGCGCGAAACUAGGUGCUGCAUGGUUGUCGUCAGCUCGUGCCGUGAGGUGUCGGGUUAAGUCCCAUAACGAGCGCAACCCCUACCGUUAGUUGCCAUCAGGUCAAGCUGGGCACUCUGGCGGGACUGCCGGUGUAAGCCGAGAGGAAGGUGGGGAUGACGUCAAAUCAGCACGGCCCUUACGUCCGGGGCUACACACGUGUUACAAUGGGGGGUACAGAAGGCAGCUACACGGCGACGUGGUGCUAAUCCCAAAAGCCUCUCUCAGUUCGGAUUGGAGUCUGCAACCCGACUCCAUGAAGCUGGAUUCGCUAGUAAUCGCGCAUCAGCCAUGGCGCGGUGAAUACGUUCCCGGGCCUUGUACACACCGCCCGUCAAGCCAUGGGAG
rnacentral:rRNA from 1 species